AAUCAACGCUGGCGGCGUGCCUAACACAUGCAAGUCGAACGAGAAAGUGACUUCGGUCACUGGAUAGUGGCGUCCGGGUGAGUAACACGUGGGUAAUCUACCCUCGGGUGGGGAAUAACGUCUCGAAAGAGACGCUAAUACCGCAUAAUGCAGCGGCACCUAAUGGUGAAUAGUUGUUAAAGCGGGGGAUCGCAAGACCUCGCGCCUGAAGAGGAGCCUGCGGCAGAUUAGCUAGUUGGUGAGGUAAUGGCUCACCAAGGCUUCGAUCUGUAGCUGGUCUGAGAGGACGGCCAGCCACACUGGCACUGACACACGGGCCAGACUCCUACGGGAGGCAGCAGUGGGGAAUUUUGGGCAAUGGACGAAAGUCUGACCCAGCAACGCCGCGUGAGGGAGGAAAUCCUUCGGGAUGUAAACCUCGCAAGCAAGGGAAGAAUGCUUGAGACCUAACACGUCUCAAGAGGGACGGUACCUUGCGUAAGCCACGGCUAACUACG
rnacentral:rRNA from 1 species